rnacentral:rRNA from 1 species
CACGUAGGGCGCAAGCGUUGUCCGGAAUUAUUGGGCGUAAAGAGCGUGUAGGCGGCCAGGUAGGUCCGUUGUGAAAACUCGAGGCUCAACCUCGAGACGCCGAUGGAAACCAUCUGGCUAGAGUCCGGAAGAGGAGAGUGGAAUUCCCGGUGUAGCGGUGAAAUGCGCAGAUAUCGGGAAGAACACCCGUGGCUAAGGCGGCUCUCUAGUACGGUACUGACGCUGAGACGCGAAAGCGUGGGGAGCGAACAGG